AGGGAAUCUUCCGCAAUGGACGAAAGUCUGACGGAGCAACGCCGCGUGAGUGAUGAAGGUUUUCGGAUCGUAAAGCUCUGUUGCCAGGGAAGAACGUCCGUUAGAGUAACUGCUAACGGAGUGACGGUACCUGAGAAGAAAGCCCCGGCUAACUACGUGCCAGCAGCCGCGGUAAUACGUAGGGGGCGAGCGUUGUCCGGAAUUAUUGGGCGUAAAGCGCGCGCAGGCGGCUGUUUAAGUCUGGUGUUUAAUCCUGGGGCUCAACCCCGGGUCGCACUGGAAACUGGACAGCUUGAGUGCAGAAGAGGAGAGUGGAAUUCCACGUGUAGCGGUGAAAUGCGUAGAGAUGUGGAGGAACACCAGUGGCGAAGGCGACUCUCUGGGCUGUAACUGACGCUGAAGCACGAAAGCAUGGGUAGCAAAC
rnacentral:rRNA from 1 species